GCCGGAACUUCCUGGCAUUUCGGUAGUAUUCGAGUCGAGCUGGAGCGUCUGCGGUCUCGAGUUUGAGCACGAAGUAACGCCUAUGCCCAUGCUUCUGCUUCCUCAGGUAGCCGCGUUUGCAGACUUCAUCCCCGACGGGGAGGUCCUCCUCUUCGGAUUCCGAGUCUGACCGGGAGCCAGUGGCUGUGGAGAGCCACAUGGCUCCCGGACAGGACGACCCGGUCCCAAUGAGUGCGGUCCGGGUUCCCGAGGAAAGGAGCGGGGUGGUCGCCACUGCUGCUAGAGCUGCGGAGGCUGCUGCUGCUGCUGAGGCUCUCAGUCUCCUAAGCGCUUGGUGGCCAGAGAAGGAGCAACUCGCCAUGGUGAUGCACCGUGGUUUUAAGCUCACAUUUUCCCUUCCGAUCGCAGUUUGCUCUAGUUCCACCCGCCUCUCACUUUGAGCUGUGCUUCUUAGCAGAAAAUGUCAGUUAUCUCUGGAAACGCGGCAA
ensembl:antisense Gm15295 predicted gene 15295